GCCCCAAGAAGCAGCGAGCUGUACGAGGAGUGGGACGCACCGGAUACUGAAACUAUAGACCGUCUCUGCGUAAUUUUUUCACAGGUUUAUGCGUAAAUACCGGAGCGCACUGAGACACUGAGCUUCAGCUCCUAAAAGGUGAACUUGUGGUUAUUGCGCCUCGUCGAAACCUCUAAGGGCUGUCAGAGAAAAAAAAAAACUGAUUGAGAGUUAAGGUGUGGCUGAGGGUUUCUGUGACGCUUCAACGCUGAAAAAUGCUCCAAAAGAGACUGUUUCUAAAUCCUGAAGACUGAUACUCUUCAGCUUCACACGGCUUUUUAAGAUUCUGCUCAGUCUUUUCCACCCAGGAACAUAUUACAUAACAAACGUAUUGCCUUCUUGAUGUGCGCACCUUUUGGCUGAAAACCCCCUCGCUAUAGACGGACUGUUACGCAGUCAAGAAGUAGAGAGCGUCAAGGAAUUUUGUACUAUUUGUCAGGUGAGGUUCGGUUUCAUAAGUCUGGUUAAAUGUAACGGACGUGGCAACUUUACAGUAGCCAGUCCUGCUGAAUGCCACGGGCAAACUGGGCGUGGGGGGGAGAAAGAGUCCGAACAGAGCCUUAAGAAUCCUCAAAUCUGCUCCAAACUGCGCGUAUUUGAUAUUUGGAGCGGCUCGGUGGCUUGACCUGCACCAAAGUAAGUGCGUCUCUCUGGUACAUUUUUGCAAACUUUUUCACGGAGGUGACAUUUAAAGGCCACAGGGGAGGGCGUGCUACGGUGUCAUCCCGAAUACGUUUUACCCUGUUUUAUCAAGAUGUAGAGAGCUCUGGAAACGGAGGAGACGGAUUAAUUUGGUCCACGCGGUGGUGUGUCGGUCGGCUGAGGCCUAUCAAAUCUUUUCCGUGUUAUGAUACAGUGCGUGAACAUAACUAGUACGGGGAAUGGGCGGGUGCGUCCACGCCAGUGCGAACGGCUGGGCGUUGAAUGCAUCUAAAUCCAGCCAAGGAGCAGCGCAGUGUAAGAGUUGAAUUUACAUCCCAGCAGUCCGCUUUGACUUGCUCACUGAAUACCAUGGAGUCAUGGCUCACUCUCGCGAUGUUCUUCUGCCAUUAUAAGUCAUAGCGAUAAUUGAGUGCACAUGCAGGCUGACCCUCUAAUUAAGAUAAGCUUUAAGUCGAGAGGAAAGCAGAUAGAAUUCAUUCUUCAAGGCCCCACCCUUUGUAGCGCAACAUGGAUGAGGGUUGCCCCCACCUCCUCCUCCUCCUCCUCCUCCUCUUCCCCCUCCUCUCCUCCUCUCCUCUCCCUGUGUCUCUCCCUCCGCGUCAUUCGUUUCCCCCCCUUCAAGCCUGUCUUCUGCUGUUUUCCCCCCCUCAGUAUCUCCAGGUGCCUUCAGCUACAGGAGAUCGUCUCAUCUUUUAACCUACUUCGGAUGUGGAUCGUGUUCAGGAGCUUCUUCAAGGAAUCCUCGGUGCCGAUCAUGGGUGCAGGUA